GAGCAUCGCAUUUGUAAUGCGAGGGUCAUCGGUUCAAAUCCGAUAGUCGGCU
rnacentral:tRNA from 2 species